rnacentral:rRNA from 1 species
UACAGAGGGGGCAAGCGUUGUUCGGAAUUACUGGGCGUAAAGGGCGCGUAGGCGGCCUUCUAAGUCGAACGUGAAAUCCCUGGGCUCAACCCAGGAACUGCGUCCGAUACUGGAAGGCUUGAAUCCGGGAGAGGGAUGCGGAAUUCCAGGUGUAGCGGUGAAAUGCGUAGAUAUCUGGAGGAACACCGGUGGCGAAGGCGGCAUCCUGGACCGGUAUUGACGCUGAGGCGCGAAAGCUAGGGGAGCAAACAGG